UUUCAACCUAAUUCCACAUUUUAACCCCCAAUGUUAACAAAUCAGGAUAAAUAUAUCAACUUAUCAAGUGCAGCAACCGUUUGUUCAUGCUUGUAGCGUGCGAAUUUUACACUUUAAUGGCGGAAAAACCCUCAAUUUUGCCUGCUAACUUGAAUUCCGAUUCAUCUACCAUAAGUAAGUUAUUAUAAUCUCUCUGUCUUGGUAUUCGUAACGGUUUAAUUUGCUAUCGAUUGAUGCUCUUUAUAGAGUGAUUCAGUUUCAAACAGUUGGUAAAUGCCAGAAUCCAUCACAAGUGAUCCAGUUUCAAACAAUAGUGCCGUUUAGGGCUAUUAGUUGCAUGUAAAUCGGUCUAUGAAACAUGGGUUUUACAGUUGUUGGUGAUCUUUGAAGGUUUUAAAGAUUCCUUCUUUGAAUGUGAAAUGGCAUUUGUGAUUGCAACUUGAAGACAACGGUGAUGUUUGAUGUGAAGAUAAAGAUCAAAUAUUUGUACCGGUUUGCCAUUAUAAGUGGGUGUUGCUGUUCAAGUCUUUUAAACGAGGAAGCAAAAGUGCACCAUCGUCGAUUUGCACCUGCUUCCGUUUCUGGCGUCACUGUGUUUACAGGUAAACCCUCAGUCGAUCCUUCAUGAUGGCCAUGUUUUGACCGCCUAACUAUUGAAGAUGGAUCUCUAAUCUAAAAGCACAAAGAAGAGGUCAUUUGAUGCAUGCUGUAUGGGGUGGCAAAGCUCAUUGUAUUUUACAACAGGUUAAAAUCAAGGUGGCAUUUCAUAGGUCAGAUUGCAGGUCACAUUCUAAUGGUAGCGGGUCAGAUUGCAACUUAAUGUGUAACUUAUAGCUAUAAAGGUUUGUACUCAAUUUGUUGCAACAUUAUUAACCAUAUUUGUUGUUGUUUACCUAACAAAUUAUAUAGAACAAUUCGGGAACCACGGCGCAACGCGCGGGGUUUAAUACUAGCAUAUUAUAAACUUGUAACACAAAUGCGCAUCAUGUAGUUGUACAAUGUGCAAAAAGUCUUAUAUAUGUUGUAUAUGUUGUUUAAAACCUCUAUAAUUUGAUAGUCUUGAACC